ensembl:lncRNA
UAUAUAUAUAUAUAUAUAUAUAUAUAGCAGCAUCAAUGUUGGCUUUGUAAUCAUAACUUUUUGGGCAGAUUGAAUGUGCAGUAUUGAAAAUAUGUAUCUAUGUAAUUGUACUGUAUGUCUAAUGUAUGGCUAAUUAAUUUGUAAAAAUUUUAUUUACAUUGUUUAUUGAGAGGAGAAUGUAUUUUUGCGAGUUAAUUUGUUAUCAAGAAACUGCAGAUUUAGGACUGCAUAAAGAGCAAUCAUUAGGAUCGAAAGAAACAGUAUGCUAGCUGUAAUUGCUUGAGUUUUAUAUAUAUAUAAAAAAAGAAAACUGCAGACUAAAAUUAUAGCGCUUAUUCUACUGGAUUAGACCUUAACUCUGGCUUCAGGAAAAGAUCAGUUAUCAUGUAGGAGUGACCUUAUCACACAUUCUCCCUAAUUUCUUUGCUAUUUUAUUAUUACUACAUGACAGGGCCCUGUUUGAAAACUGUUCAAAUCCUUCAUUAUUUAUUUUCGGCAUUGGAGUGAUCACUGGGCACAGCUUCUACCAGUCCAGACGUAUCAGAUCGGUUGUUCCUGGAUGUACUGUACACCUAGUGUGGGUAGUGCUCUGGUUCCGAUAGGUCUCUGUGGAUCACUGGGGUGUGUCCUGGCUUUGGAGGAGCUGACCUUCCCCCUUUUAUCUCAAGCUCAUCGGGUGUCUAAAAAAAAAGCUCUAUUGAAGUCAUUUUUAUGAAGGAAAGUGUUCCAACAGGGCCUUAGAAACAGCACUCCCAUUCUCCCUAGUCCUUUCAAUACUGGGACUACUGUGUUCUGUUGGAGCCAAUUGUUCAGGGGCCAUUUAACCUAAUGCCACAGCCCCUGGAGGUUUAUUGGACUCGCUGUAGCGACCAGGCUGUUCUGACGCCCUGUAAGAACAAGCCAUUUGCCUCUCAGAAACACCUUCCAAGUGUCUUUUUACUGUUGAGGAUCCACCAAGACUACCUUAGAAUACAACCCUCCCCUAGUAGCUAUGUGCAUGAACCCAUCCUGGGUCAGGUUCACGAGGCAGGUAACGGAAAAUGUUUUAAGGUUUCCGUUUGAUGCCUAAUGAGCACUACCCAGCUCCUUAAGAUGUGUAAGAGUGAAGAAAUAGGGGCUAGGGAAUGGGAUAUAGGGGUGUCACUGGGAGCUUGCAGGGUGGGUGAUGGAUUAGACAGCAGGCAAGGGACCAAAUGUGGCACCAGCCACAAAGCGCUUGCGUCACACUCACAAUAAUAUUAGGCGCACACAUUUGUUUGAAUGAAUUUGAAAAUUUAUCGAAGAAGGUACAUUAAUAUAAGCUUUUGUUUUUGUUUUGAUGGCCAAUCAUCAGAAUGUACAUUCUACAAAUUUAUUUAUGAACUAUAAAAAAGUGAUAGAAGAAAGUUUACAUGUACCUGUGUCUUAUUGUGUGAGCUGUGCUUCCUUCUCUUAGGAGCAUGUGUUCUUAUUUAAUUCAGGAAAAUGUAAUCUUGCCUAUUGGAAUGAGUGGGCUAUUACUCCUCUGUAAACAUGUUUCAGUAUUCAUACUAAGACCAGAAGAAAGCUUAUGUUUUGAUGCGAGCUAGGAAAUUUGUAGGAAAGAUGUUACAUUUGGUGAUUAAAAUGUUCACUAAAGCCAAAUGUGUAUUUGAAACACACAAAAGUCACACCUACCUAUAUAAAUGGGGACAGCAGUAUAUUUCCCUUAGAAGUGAAAUGUUUACUAAUCCUGACCUUAACCCUAACCCAAAUGGAACGUUUUAACCUAACCAAAACCAAGGUGACUUUUUCUUUUCUUAAAUAGAGACAGGAAAAUUCCUUGUUUUACCAGUUUUGGUUUGAUUUUGUAGUAUUGAUAUAGCGCACAUACACAGCAACAGUGUAGAUGAAGUGGCCAUUAACAAACUGCUUUCAGGGAGUUGCUUGCCAGAUGAGACAACCCAAAUGGAAGACAAAAGAGGAGUUUAAUAGCCAUUUUUGUUGUAUUUGAUUGAGAUGUUAUAGAUUACUUCAUAAAAGGCUCUUAAUUGGAGAUCUUGAUAUAGUGUUAUUGUUAAUAUUUUGUCACACAAUCCAAAUCACAAAUAUUAAAAUAUAGCAUAUGUCAAAUUUUGUGAUAUCGUAACAGACAGACACCCCG